UUGAAGCAAAGUGUAGAUUAAAUAGCUAUCAAAUUACAAUUAAUGUUAACAGUAUUCCUUUUAUAUACAAUGCAUAUAACUGUCUUUUGGAAUUGCAUUCAAACAACAAGUACUUGACAACAUACAUUUGGAAUUUCAUAACUGAAGAACAGUUUAAGUGUAAAUAAUAGAUUUUUUCAUUAAACCGCCUGAAAUAACUUCUGGAAUAACUUGGAAUGCUGUGUGUCUUAUUCAUGUUAAGAUUACCUAAGACCUCUGGAGCUUAUGUUCAGCAAAAAAAAAACUGAUGUAAAAUCUGCAUUAUGAUGACUCAACAUAAAUGAAUGGAAGACAACAAGGCCCCCCAGAAAAUGGGAUCAGGAAAUGCAAAACUCGCCCAGGUGACCCCCGCAGACUCCACUGACUCCCUGGCCCCUGUGUGUGACCCCUGUGUAAACAAGAAUGAGCCUGCGCGUGGCUGGUGUGACCAGUGCGGGGUGUACCUAUGCACAAGGUGCGUGUCCACCCACAACCGCAGUCACAAGCUGGCCAUGGGUAGAAACCUUCCCCCGACCCGGCCAACACCAGACUCUUUAUUAAACAAUGUGGAGAUAAAGACCGUCCUUCCAGUUGCGACGUUAGAGGACAAUGAUUUAAAACGAGAGGAUGUACCAUACGAGGAGCGUAAUAUACGAGGGUGUGUGUGUAUAGGGGAGUACAAUCGUCACCAUAACAAUGACACGGAUUACCCUCUAUGAUGAAGAGUUUCAGUGCGUAGGAGAGAUCGACUUUGAGUGGUUUCAGCCUUUAUCAAUAUGUUCACGUAAUAACGACAUAGCAGUGUCAUUUGAAAGAUUGAAAGACUCUGACGCUGCAGAUCCAGAGAUGAGCAAACCACGGAAGAAGAUGCCACCAUACAAGGACGUGCAGUUAUACCAGCUGGUUUUACAGAGCUGUACCUCCGAAACUCACUUGGUCAAAAAGAAGAACUUCAACACUUCGGGUGAGUGCUUCACCCUCGCAGUGUGUCCUGUGUACACGCGAGAAUUAAUAAUGGCAGCUGGGAUACAGCUGGGAAAGCAUCCAGAACGUGAGGACAUCAAAUACAUCGUUCAGAUAAUUCGGUCUAACGGCGAAAUUUUGCAAACGCUCGAUAUAAACCCUCUAGCAGAGCCUUGCUUCACAUCCCGGUUUUUCAUAAGCGCCACUAUGAAAUUUGGCGAGAUUAUUGUUUCAGAAGCCUCAAAUCGCAGGGUAAGAGGAAUUUACAUGAAAACGGGAAAAAACUACAUUUGAGUUUGAAGGUGGCUCGCCUCAGGGGCUCGCCUGCGACACUGAUGACAAUAUCUACGUCUACAACGACAACCAGCUAUUCUGGAUCCCCCCUCUGAGGAAUAAAAUCCACUACAUGCAACAAGGCUACAAGAAAACUGCAAAAAAGGAAAACAGAAUGGCUGUGUCCCUUUGCUUUAACAGCGAUACAAGGAUACUGUAUAAAUCCAACAUUGAUUCGCCAACGAUUGAAAGUUUCCGCAUCACAUGAGUUACCAUACUGAAUGGAUAUCUUUUAAUUUGAUUAUCGUGACUAAUUUAGGUAACUGAUUUAAAAGUAUCUUUUAUAUCUACAGUUCAUGUACCCACAAUUGAAAGUUUCCGUAUUACAUAUGUUAGCUAACUACUAGAUAAUGUAAUAAUUUAUAUUUUGUCGAUUUUAAAAUCAUAAUUUGAUACAUAGAUUGAUGUUGAAAUAAAGCAAGGACAAAAUUG